rnacentral:rRNA from 1 species
AUUGAACGCUGGCGGCAGGCCUAACACAUGCAAGUCGAACGGUAACAGGAAACAGCUUGCUGUUUCGCUGACGAGUGGCGGACGGGUGAGUAAUGUCUGGGAAACUGCCUGAUGGAGGGGGAUAACUACUGGAAACGGUAGCUAAUACCGCAUAACGUCGCAAGACCAAAGAGGGGGACCUUCGGGCCUCUUGCCAUCGGAUGUGCCCAGAUGGGAUUAGCUAGUAGGUGGGGUAACGGCUCACCUAGGCGACGAUCCCUAGCUGGUCUGAGAGGAUGACCAGCCACACUGAAACUGAGACACGGUCCAGACUCCUACGGGAGGCAGCAGUGGGGAAUAUUGCACAAUGGGCGCAAGCCUGAUGCAGCCAUGCCGCGUGUAUGAAGAAGGCCUUCGGGUUGUAAAGUACUUUCAGCGGGGAGGAAGGGAGUAAAGUUAAUACCUUUGCUCAUUGACGUUACCCGCAGAAGAAGCACCGGCUAACUCCGUG